AGGAUAAAAUUGUAUUGAGAACAAGCUGCUAACUUGAUCCUCUAGCGGUUUAAUCCCGUUAUUAUCCUU
rnacentral:tRNA from 1 species